CCUGAGUACGACGGAGCACGUGAAAUUCCGUCGGAAUCUGGGAGGACCAUCUCCUAAGGCUAAAUACUCUCUAGUGACCGAUAGUGAACCAGUACCGUGAGGGAAAGGUGAAAAGUACCCCGGAAGGGGAGUGAAAGAGAACUUGAAACCGUGUGCUUACAAGUAGUCAGAGCCCGUUAAUGGGUGAUGGCGUGCCUUUUGUAGAAUGAACCGGCGAGUUACGAUCUGAUGCAAGGUUAAGCAGAAAAUGUGGAGCCGUAGCGAAAGCGAGUCUGAAUAGGGCGAAUGAGUAUUUGGUCGUAGACCCGAAACCAGGUGAUCUACCCUUGGUCAGGUUGAAGUUCAGGUAACACUGAAUGGAGGACCGAACCGACUUACGUUGAAAAGUGAGCGGAUGAACUGAGGGUAGCGGAGAAAUUCCAAUCGAACUUGGAGAUAGCUGGUUCUCUCCGAAAUAGCUUUAGGGCUAGCCUCAAGUGAUGAUUAUUGGAGGUAGAGCACUGUUUGGACGAGGGGCCCCUCUCGGGUUACCGA
rnacentral:rRNA from 1 species